CACCAGACUCCUACGGGAGGCAGCAGUGGGGAAUAUUGCACAAUGGGGGAAACCCUGAUGCAGCGACGCCGCGUGAGCGAAGAAGUAUUUCGGUAUGUAAAGCUCUAUCAGCAGGAAAGAAAAUGACGGUACCUGACUAAGAAGCUCCGGCUAAAUACGUGCCAGCAGCCGCGGUAAUACGUAUGGAGCAAGCGUUAUCCGGAUUUACUGGGUGUAAAGGGAGCGCAGGCGGUCUGGCAAGUCUGAUGUGAAAGGCCGGGGCUCAACCCCGGGACUGCAUUGGAAACUGUCAGACUGGAGUGUCGGAGAGGUAAGCGGAAUUCCUAGUGUAGCGGUGAAAUGCGUAGAUAUUAGGAGGAACACCAGUGGCGAAGGCGGCUUACUGGACGAUGACUGACGCUGAGGCUCGAAAGCGUGGGGAGCAAACAGGAUUAGAUACCCCUGUAUAC
rnacentral:rRNA from 1 species